CUGUCAGGGUUGAAUUUGGUGAUGCAGCUGCAGCAGCAGACCCCGCUGAUGCCCACUCCAUAGCUCGUUACUUUCCAAACACUUAUGGUCAGCCUUUGGCUCACUUUCUCAGGGCCACUGCAAAAGUCCCAGAUGCUCACUUGCUCAGAGCAUAACCGAGCAUCCGGCUUUUAGGGUGGGAAUAGUCUUUUGAGGGAGACAAUCUCCUGGAGGACAUAAUGUUGUAUGGGGUCUUUACAGUGCUCUUAAAAUUCACAACCCCAAGAGUACUUUACUUGGAUUUCUCGAUUGCCAAAGACCCAUCUGGGAGAGACAUCAACGCGCUUCAACAGCACAUAGAGAAUCUUCUAACUCCAUCCACACUUUUCUUCAACACUCUUUACGAUCCAUACAGAAAGGGUGUUGACUUCAUCCGUGGAUACCCUUUCAGUCUCCGCGAGGGUGUCCCUACUGCUGUUUCUCAUGGCCUCUGGCUCUACAUCCUUGACUAUGAUGCUCCUACCCAACUUAUUAAGCCAAGGGAGAGAAAUACCAGGUAUAUGUACCAGGGAUAUGUAUACAUCUGUCUAAACGCUCCAU